UACGUAGGGUGCAAGCGUUAAUCGGAAUUACUGGGCGUAAAGCGUGCGCAGGCGGCUUUGCAAGUCAGAUGUGAAAUCCCCGGGCUUAACCUGGGAACUGCAUUUGUGACUGCAUGGCUGGAGUGCGGCAGAGGGGGGUGGAAUUCCGCGUGUAGCAGUGAAAUGCGUAGAUAUGCGGAGGAACACCGAUGGCGAAGGCAAUCCCCUGGGCCGGCACUGACGCUAAGGCACGAAAGCGUGGGGAGCAAACAGG
rnacentral:rRNA from 1 species